AUUGAACGCUGGCGGCAGGCCUAACACAUGCAAGUCGAGCGGAUGAAGGGAGCUUGCUCCUGGAUUCAGCGGCGGACGGGUGAGUAAUGCCUACGAAUCUGCCUGGUAGUGGGGGAUAACGUCCGGAAACGGGCGCUAAUACCGCAUACGUCCUGAGGGAGAAAGUGGGGGAUCUUCGGACCUCACGCUAUCAGAUGAGCCUAGGUCGGAUUAGCUAGUUGGUGGGGUAAAGGCCUACCAAGGCGACGAUCCGUAACUGGUCUGAGAGGAUGAUCAGUCACACUGGAACUGAGACACGGUCCAGGCUCCUACGGGAGGCAGCAGUGGGGAAUAUUGGACAAUGGGCGAAAGCCUGAUCCAGCCAUGCCGCGUGUGUGAAGAAGGUCUUCGGAUUGUAAAGCACUUUAAGUUGGGAGGAAGGGCAGUAAGUUAAUACCUUGCUGUUUUGACGUUACCAACAGAAUAAGCACCGGCUAACUUCGUG
rnacentral:rRNA from 1 species